rnacentral:rRNA from 1 species
GACGAACGCUGGCGGCGUGCUUAACACAUGCAAGUCGAACGGACAGACCGUGAUUUUGUGGGGUGCUCGUGUGGCGAACGGGUGAGUAUCACGUGAGUAACCUGCCCUUGACUUUGGGAUAACUUAAGGAAACUGGGGCUCAUACCGGGUAGAAGCUGCUGCUUCGCAGGAGGGGUUGUAGAAAUUCGGCGCUUGGGGUUGGUAGCGGGGCUUAUCGGCUUGUUGGUGGGGUAGUGGGUGACCAAGGCUUAGCCGGGUAGCCGGCCUGAGAGGGUGAACGGGCACAUGGCGACUGAGAGAGGGCGCAGACACCUAUGGGAGGCAGUAGUGGGGAAUAUGGCACAAUAGGCGGAAGCCUGAGGAAGAAACGCCGGGGUCGGGAUGCCGGCCUGUGGGUUGAAAACCGCUUUCGCCGGUGACGAAGCGUGAGUGACGGUAACGAGUAAAGAAGCACCGGCUAACUACGUG